GCAAUCUUUAAGACAAUGAGAUUGGUUUUACAAAGGAAUGACAUUCAAGAAUAAGGAAGAACUAGUCAAUUCAUUGAAUAUUUCUUGGUUGAAAAAAUAUCUUCAACUAAAGAAGGUGAUUAAUUCACAAAAUAUACAUUUUUUUAGAUGUGCUCAUCUAGAUUGCAAGUGAUGGCUGAGAGCUCUAAAAUUCAUAAGUUCUGAUAGAUUCGACAUUAGAAAUUAUGAAAAGUAUCACACAUGUAGUUCAGAGGAUAUUACGAGCCAUAAUCCACAUGCCAUGACAAAGGUCAUCAGUAAAUACUUUGAAAAAAGAUUCUCCAAUGGAAAGAUCCUUCUACAAUAGAUAUGGCCAAUGAAAUCCGUACAUAAUUAGCUUGUAAGGUGAGAUAUUGAAAUAUUUAUAAGAUCAUAGAUAUUGCAAAGUAUCUAGUUAGGGGAACACACGAGCAUGGGUAUAUCGUACUUGAUGUCUAUCGUUACAUACUUAAGUCCACAAAUCCCGUAAGUAAGAUGACAUUGCAGGUUGAAGGAAAUAAAAGGUUCAAGUACUUUUUUGUAGCCUAUGGUCCUUGGAUUCUUUGUCUUCAAAAUUUUAGAAAAGCCAUAGCCAUUGACAGGAUAUUUUUGAGGAGCAAGUACGAAGGAGUUUUGUUAUCAACAAUGGUACAGGAUGCAGAUAAUCACAUCUUUCUGAUGGCUUUUCAUGCAGUCGACAAGGAAUGUGAUGACUCAUAUCGAUAUUUUUUUAAACAAAUGAGAAGUUGUGUAGAUGAUACGGACUAGUUAUGUAUAAUUUUGGAUAGGCAUCCAAGUAUCCAAAAGAUGGUGUCAAUUGUCCCUUUAGCUCACUAUGGUUGUUACAUGAGGAACCUUGGGGAAAAUAUUUAAAACAACUAUCACAACUCAAAGGUCAUCACUCAUUUUUAUAAAUCAACUAAAGCGUAUGAUAGAGCUGAAUUCUUAGACUAUUUUAAUCAAAAAGGGAUAUUGUACCUAAGGCAGUAGAACAUCUCAAACACAUCAGAUUCGAGAGGUGGAGCCAUGCAUUUUAUUAGGAAAUAGGUACAUUAUUCAUAAAUUUAAUGUCUUGUUUAAGUUUAUUGUAAUACUAUGUCAUACUAAGUGAUUCUUUUGUAUAGGUAUAAUAUUAUAAUGUCAAACAUAGCUAAACCGAUGAAUACAAUGUUUGACGCUAAAAGAGAAUUUCUCAUUGUGGCACUAUUUGAUGAAAUUAAUGUAAGGUUUGCCAAAUUAUUUCAUGAGAGGCCAUGGAGUUGGUGAACUCAUCAAUCAUGCUUGUGUCUUCAAUGGAAAAAAAAUAUCAAUGUACCUCACAAUGGGGAAUAAGUUACUGACCCAUCAAAUAGCCAAUUACAAGUUCAGUAUCAACAGUUAUGGUGAUGUUACCACUAUCGAUUGUCAAAGAAGAACUUGUACAUGUAAAUUUUUUGACUUAGACAAAAUACCUUGUCCACAUGCUAUGGCAGUUCUUCGAGCCUAAUAUGGUGCAUAAUUUGGAAAUUAAAUUUAUAACAACUCAUCUCCAUAUUAUUUAGUGGAAAAACACAUAAUCAUAUAUUGUGAGAAUAUUAAUCCGAUGCCUCCUGAAGAUUCUUGGGUUGUUCCUAUAGAGAUUUUGGAGAGAGAAAUACCUCCUCCAUAUAUGGACCCAAGUAGUACCAAAUUAAGAAGAAUGCAGUAUAAGAGGAAAUGAAGAG
rnacentral:lncRNA from 1 species